CUAAGACACACAGUGCUAAAUCUGGGAAGCCAUGACUAAAGGCUAAAUACGCCUUAUUGCCAUGCAAAACAAAGUGUGGACUUCCCAGCUAAUUACCCUUAUCCUGACUCCCAGAUUGUUGACCGUUUCACAAUAACUUGCAGACACAUAUUCCCAAGUAGCAUGGUUCACAUAAAGAAAUGAGUCCUUUAGUUGAUAGCCCUACUUAUCUGCAGCUGUGAAGACAGAAUCUACGCAAGAGCAAUGGUUGUGACCAUUGAAGAAAUGAGUAUACAGUGAAUUUUAUUCAUGUUCUUAUUUUUAGCAUUUUAAUUGUAUUAUAUUUUGAUUUUUUAUUCAAUAAGA